GCCAUAAGACUAUAUUUAUGGUUUAAACCUGCCCAAUGUUAUAGAUGAAUGGCCGCGGUACUUUGGCCGUGCUAAGGUAGCGUAAUCAGUUGGCUUUUAAAUGGAGUCAGGAAUGAAUGGACUAACCGGGUUUAGCUGUCUCUGAGCUACUAUAUUGAAUUUACUGUCUAAGUGAAAAAGCUUAGGGUAAGAAAAGGGACGAGAAGACCCUUAGAAUUUUUUCUAAAAAUGGUGUAUUUCUUAAAUUAGGAGAAUUGCUUUUACUGAUUUUGUUGGGGCGACAGAGAAAUAUAUUAAAACUUUCUUUUUAUAAACAUGCCGAUUGUGUUAAGACAGGAUAAAUUACCUGAGGGAUAACAGCAUAAUUCUAUAGAUGAGUUUGUGACCUCGAUGUUGGACUAGGAAACUAGCAAGCUAGGCGUUUGUUGUGUGGGUUCUGUUCGAACUUUAAAUCCU
rnacentral:rRNA from 1 species